CCGAUUGGCGUGGUUGGUAGAUACUUGCCUUUCACGACGAAGGUUGUGGGUUCGAUUCCCACCCAGGACAGACAUUUGUGUGCAUGAACAUGUCUGUUUGUCCUGAGUCUGGGUGUAAUCAUCUAUAUAAGUACGUAUUUACAAAAGAAAAGUAGAAUAUGUAGUUUAUCAGUUGUCUGGCUUCCAUAGCACAAGCUCUGCUUAGUUUCAGAUGGCCGCGGGUGAAUAAUGUCCCAGGAUGUUAUUAUUAUAUAGUGCUUCUUACUGUAUUACAUAAUAGCGAAAUAGAUUAUAUUUAAUUAAAUAUAAUCAAAUUUACUAUAAAACAAUGUAAAAAAACAUUGAUUAAACGGUAAUGAUUUUUGUCACAUCAAUAAUGAGCGCUUUAAAAACCGACUGUAUAUAUGCUCUACUUUCUUAUAUCAAGUACAAAUAAAGCAUAACUUUUGUAAAACUAUCAAGCAUGUCACGUAUAAGAUUCAAUGUAUUAUAUAUCACUGUGAAUAUGUAUCGGAUAAUUUAUUUAUAUUACGCGAAUAUAUAACAUGGAGUUGUACAACUUCCACUUAUAUAUAUAUAUCGAUAUAUAUGUCAUAUAUAUGACUUAUACACUUAUAUAUAUGUUAUAUAUGUGUCGAUUGAAUUACGUGUUGCCGGGAAUUAAUGUACUCUAUAUAAUAAAGAUAUUUAUCGUAGUAUUUGUAAUAUUUAUGGGGUUACCUUAUGAAAAAAAUUUUGACACUUGCGUUUGUCACGUUAAUAGUCUAAAUUUAAAGCGGAUGAAACUGCGAAGCGCAUUUAUAAAAUAAUAUUAUAUACUAAUACCUAUUUAAUAAUAUAGAUAUAACACAGAUAAUAUAUAUCUGUGAAAAUAUUUCAAUGUCUAUUAUAAAUUGUAUAUCUUGUAGUGUUGUAUAAAUAAUUAAUAAUGCAAAUAUAAAUAAUGUAUAUACUUCAAUAUGGUAUUAUUAUAAUACUAUAAUAACUUAAAAAAAAAAAACAUAUUAUCUGACUUAGACUUACUGUGUACUAUGACUAUUUCGAGAUCUUAGUAUUUAUUAUAAAUAUAUUUCGAGGAUUGGAGGUUGUAACAACUCUAUGUCAUAUAUUCUCUUUAUAUCUAGUUAGUAUAGCAUCUAGUCUAAUCGCUGGACAUCAAUCACAGCAUUCAAGGAUACGUUCAGCUCGUAUGACCUUCGUCAACUACCGCGUUUUUACACGCUUGUUGGACGUUGGUACGUGGCGUUCUAUACUUUUAUUAUCAUAUUUUAUCGACUGACUCGCCUUACUUUGUUAAAAUAUAUUGUUGAUCGUUUUAUUAAAUAAAAUGCGUAUUUUCAUUAA